rnacentral:rRNA from 1 species
GACGAACCGGACGAACGUUAUUCGGAAUUACUGGGCUUAAAGGGUUCGUAGGCGGCCUUGUAAGUGAGAUGUGAAAUCCCUCGGCUCAACCGAGGAAGUGCAUUUCAUACUGCAAGGCUUGAGGGAGACAGAGGUAAGCGGAACUGAUGGUGGAGCGGUGAAAUGCGUUGAUAUCAUCAGGAACACCGGUGGCGAAAGCGGCCUACUGGGUCUCUUCUGACGCUGAGGAACGAAAGCUAGGGGAGCGAACCGGGG